rnacentral:misc_RNA from 1 species
GAUGAAGAACGCAGCGAAAUGCGAUAAGUAAUGUGAAUUGCAGAAUUCAGUGAAUCAUCGAAUCUUUGAACGCACAUUGCGCCCCCUGGUAUUCCGGGGGGCAUGCCUGUCCGAGCGUCAUUACAACCCUCAAGCUCAGCUUGGUAUUGGGCCCCGCCGACCCGGCGGGCCCUAAAGUCAGUGGCGGUGCCGUCCGGCUCCGAGCGUAGUAAUUCUUCUCGCUCUGGAGGUCCGGUCGUGUGCUCGCCAGCAACCCCCAAUUUUUUUCAGGUUGACCUCGGAUCAGGUAGGAAUACCCGCUGAACUUAAGCAUAUCAAUAAGCGGAGGA